rnacentral:rRNA from 1 species
CAGCCGCCACGGGAAUACGUAGGUGGCAAGCGUUGUCCGGAAUUAUUGGGCGUAAAGGGCUCGCAGGCGGUUCCUUAAGUCUGAUGUGAAAGCCCCCGGCUCAACCGGGGAGGGUCAUUGGAAACUGGGAAACUUGAGUGCAGAAGAGGAGAGUGGAAUUCCACGUGUAGCGGUGAAAUGCGUAGAGAUGUGGAGGAACACCAGUGGCGAAGGCGACUCUCUGUCUGUAACUGACGCUGAGGAGCGAAGGCGUGGGGAGCGAACAGGAUUAGAGACCCCUGUAGUCCCUGUCUCUUAUACA